CCCUUAGAUGUUCUGGGCCGCACGCGCGCUACACUGACACGUUCAUCAAGUCUAUAACCUUGACCGAGAGGUCUGGGUAAUCUUUUAAAAACGUGUCGUGCUGGGGAUAGAUUAUUGCAAUUAUUAAUCUUCAACGAGGAAUUCCUAGUAAACGCAGAUCAUCAAUCUGCAUUGAUUACGUCCCUGCCCUUUGUACACACCGCCCGUCGCACCUACCGAUUGGAUGGUCCGGUGAAGCCUCGGGAUUGUGGUUCUUGCCGCUUUAAUGUGGCGUGACCGCGAGAACUUGUCUAAACCUUAUCAUCUAGAGGAAGGAGAAGUCGUAACA
rnacentral:rRNA from 1 species